GUAGUCAUAUGCUUGUCUCAAAGAUUAAGCCAUGCAUGUCUAAGUAUAAGCGACUUGUACUGUGAAACUGCGAAUGGCUCAUUAAAUCAGUUAUGGUUUCUUUGAUGGUACCUUGCUACUUGGAUACCCGUAGUAAUUCUAGAGCUAAUACAUGCAGGAGUGCCCGACUUCGGAAGGGCUGUAUUUAUUAGAUAAGAAACCUUCUCGGGUUCGCCCGGUUGUGUGCUGAGUCAUAAUAACUGCUCGAAUCGCACGGCUCUACGCCGGCGAUGGUUCAUUCAAAUUUCUGCCCUAUCAGCUUUCGAUGGUAGGAUAGAGGCCUACCAUGGCGUUAACGGGUAACGGAGAAUUAGGGUUCGAUUCCGGAGAGGGAGCCUGAGAAAUGGCUACCACAUCCAAGGAAGGCAGCAGGCGCGUAAAUUGCCCGAAUCCUGACACAGGGAGGUAGUGACAAGAAAUAACAAUACAGGGCUACUUCUAGUCUUGUAAUUGGAAUGAGUACAACUUACAUCUCUUCACGAGGAUCAACUGGAGGGCAAGUCUGGUGCCAGCAGCCGCGGUAAUUCCAGCUCCAGAAGCGUAUAUUAAAGUUGUUGCAGUUAAAACGCUCGUAGUCGGGUUUCGGGUCGGGCCGAGCGGUCUGCCGAUGGGUAUGCACUGUUUGGCGCGGCCUUCUUUCCGGAGACCGCGGCUACUCUUAACUGAGCGGGCGUGGGAGACGGAUCGUUUACUUUGAAAAAAUCAGAGUGUUUCAAGCAGGCAGCUCGCUCUUGCAUGGUACAGCAUGGGAUGAUUGAAUAGGACUCCGGUGCUAUUUUGUUGGUUUCGAACACCAGGAGUAAUGAUUAACAGGGACAGUCAGGGGCACUCGUAUUCCGUCGAGAGAGGUGAAAUUCUCAGACCAAUGGAAGACGAACCACUGCGAAAGCAUUUGCCAGGGAUGUUUUCACUGAUCAAGAACGAAAGUUAGGGGAUCGAAGACGAUCAGAUACCGUCGUAGUCUUAACCAUAAACCAUGCCGACUAGGGAUUGGAGGGUGUUCGUUUCGACCUCUUCAGCACCUUACGGGAAACUAAAGUCUUUGGGUUCCGGGGGGAGUAUGGUCGCAAGGCUGAAACUUAAAGGAAUU
rnacentral:rRNA from 1 species